GAUGAACGCUGGCGGCGUGCCUAAUACAUGCAAGUCGAGCGAACGGACGAGAAGCUUGCUUCUCUGAUGUUAGCGGCGGACGGGUGAGUAACACGUGGAUAACCUACCUAUAAGACUGGGAUAACUUCGGGAAACCGGAGCUAAUACCGGAUAAUAUUUUGAACCGCAUGGUUCAAAAGUGAAAGACGGUCUUGCUGUCACUUAUAGAUGGAUCCGCGCUGCAUUAGCUAGUUGGUAAGGUAACGGCUUACCAAGGCAACGAUGCAUAGCCGACCUGAGAGGGUGAUCGGCCACACUGGAACUGAGACACGGUCCAGACUCCUACGGGAGGCAGCAGUAGGGAAUCUUCCGCAAUGGGCGAAAGCCUGACGGAGCAACGCCGCGUGAGUGAUGAAGGUCUUCGGAUCGUAAAACUCUGUUAUUAGGGAAGAACAUAUGUGUAAGUAACUGUGCACAUCUUGACGGUACCUAAUCAGAAAGCCACGGCUAACUACGUGCCAGCAGCCGCGGUAAUACGUAGGUGGCAAGCGUUAUCCGGAAUUAUUGGGCGUAAAGCGCGCGUAGGCGGUUUUUUAAGUCUGAUGUGAAAGCCCACGGCUCAACCGUGGAGGGUCAUUGGAAACUGGAAAACUUGAGUGCAGAAGAGGAAAGUGGAAUUCCAUGUGUAGCGGUGAAAUGCGCAGAGAUAUGGAGGAACACCAGUGGCGAAGGCGACUUUCUGGUCUGUAACUGACGCUGAUGUGCGAAAGCGUGGGGAUCAAACAGGAUUAGAUACCCUGGUAGUCCACGCCGUAAACGAUGAGUGCUAAGUGUUAGGGGGUUUCCGCCCCUUAGUGCUGCAGCUAACGCAUUAAGCACUCCGCCUGGGGAGUACGACCGCAAGGUUGAAACUCAAAGGAAUUGACGGGGACCCGCACAAGCGGUGGAGCAUGUGGUUUAAUUCGAAGCAACGCGAAGAACCUUACCAAAUCUUGACAUCCUUUGACAACUCUAGAGAUAGAGCUUUCCCCUUCGGGGGACAAAGUGACAGGUGGUGCAUGGUUGUCGUCAGCUCGUGUCGUGAGAUGUUGGGUUAAGUCCCGCAACGAGCGCAACCCUUAAGCUUAGUUGCCAUCAUUAAGUUGGGCACUCUAAGUUGACUGCCGGUGACAAACCGGAGGAAGGUGGGGAUGACGUCAAAUCAUCAUGCCCCUUAUGAUUUGGGCUACACACGUGCUACAAUGGACAAUACAAAGGGCAGCGAAACCGCGAGGUCAAGCAAAUCCCAUAAAGUUGUUCUCAGUUCGGAUUGUAGUCUGCAACUCGACUACAUGAAGCUGGAAUCGCUAGUAAUCGUAGAUCAGCAUGCUACGGUGAGUACGUUCCCGGGUCU
rnacentral:rRNA from 1 species